AUGGGUUUGAAGCUCAGGGUCUGGGGAGCUGAGGAGGGAGAUUCCAGGAAGAAAAAGACGCCAAAUUUCAGCUGUCCCAAGACUCUGGAACCUUCCGCCUCCACCCUCCUUUGCUUUCUGUCAAUCGAUCAAUACAGCCAUAGCAAAGAGAAAUUGUCUUUUAAAGUGGUGGGGAAGGAGGUCCAGGUGGAGCGUUCCUAUGAAUCAAAACAGUGCCCUCUCCGAAGGACGAGGAAACAAAGAAGGAGCUUUGAAGACCGGCCUCAGACCCUGCAGUGGGGAGAAGCGGCCAGUUCCGGGAGCUCGAUGUGCAGGUGGCCUCCAGCCCCAAGAGGACUCCCCGGGCUUGUGCUCUCUGGCGGUGCAGCACUUCCAGAGAGGUCUCACUUCAUUUCUACUGGCUCUCAGGCUGUGCUUCCCGCCGUGUGCCCCUUGCCCCUGGAUGGAGAAACAGCUCCACCUUUCCUCUCGCCAGCCACCAGCUUCGGCUCCUGCUGCACGACUGAAUCCCUAUGCCGUGCUCACCUAGGAUGGCUUCUGCGGUUGUUUGAAACCCUAGAGAGUUUUGUCUUUGCAGAUGGCCUCGAGCCGGUCCUCUCACCCUCUCACCGGUGCUAAAGAUCAUCUGUGUUCCGCCCCAAAGACACGGCCGUGUCAGAAGUAUCGCUGCAGCACCACGUUACACCACACAGGAGCUGAGCUGCUUCCUCUGGGCGUCUCCACCCUGUCGGGGAGUCUGGCCCCUCUUGAAGGAACUUUGCACCUGUCCAAGAGCCCUCACUUUGAGGGCAGCUUGCAAAGCUGAGGUUUACCCCAUCUGCCUCCCGCCCUGCCCAGGCCCUGGGAAAAUAGAAUCACAUGAAGAUAUUCAGGUUCCAGGGUUAGCAUUUGUCGCCACUUCGGAGGAAGGUCGGGCUGCUUGUGUGUGUCCCUGCCUCCUGGUCCCUGGCAUAGCCCUGCAGACCAUACCCAGAGCCCCGCUUUCCUUGCCCUGACCACAAGCCUCCCUCUGCAGAGAUGUUUUGUCCCAACACUCAGGGAUGCUGGACGCAUAACAGCUUCUGGUUAAAAAUGUAUCUGUCUGCUAUAAGCCUGUGAAUGGGUCUACUCAGUGUGAUCAAAGACUAUGGUGGACAUUUAAAUAAAUUAAAUCUACUACAGUAAAAGACAUUGCCAUUCACCCCCUCCAGGUGCUCACCCUUGCUCUGAACACGCUCAUCCUGUGAUCCUUGCCAUCUUCUGGAGUAGCUCUGGAUGUCCUCCCUUGGGGGUAUCUUUACUUGUGCAGUUGUGGCUGCUGCGGUGUCCAGAAUCCGUUCAAAACCCUUGCCUUCCGUGGUCAUUUUGAUUUCAGGAAGGUGCCAGAGAUCGCGGGGUUGCCAGAUCCAGUGAGUAAAGAGGACACAGGAGUGCUUCCAUGAGCCUGCCUUUCUGGGGGGCGGCAGCCAGCAGCAGCGGCUUCAUUGUGUUUUCGGUCACACCUUGCAGAGAUGCGAGCCGAAGAACACUUCCUGGACCGCUUUGAACAGUGGUGAGGAUGGUGGG
rnacentral:lncRNA from 1 species